rnacentral:misc_RNA from 1 species
GAUGAAGAACGCAGCGAAAUGCGAUAAGUAAUGUGAAUUGCAGAAUCCAGUGAAUCAUCGAAUCUUUGAACGCACAUUGCGCCCGCCAGCAUUCUGGCGGGCAUGCCUGUUCGAGCGUCAUUUCAACCCUCGACCCCCCUUUGGGGAAGUCGGCGUUGGGGACCGGCAGCACACCGCCGGCCCUGAAAUGGAGUGGCGGCCCGUCCGCGGCGACCUCUGCGUAGUAAACCAACUCGCACCGGAACCCCGACGUGGCCACGCCGUAAAACACCCAACUUCUGAACGUUGACCUCGAAUCAGGUAGGACUACCCGCUGAACUUAAGCAUAUCAAUAAGCGGAGGA